GAUCUGUUAGAAAACCACAAGACUUUUUCUGUGUAAUUAUAAUACUGUAACAGGGUAGACUUGUAUCAAUAUAGGAUUUUGUGUGACACUAGUGGUGGAUUUGUGGCGCAUGUGUGGGUGUGGCUUUGCAGGGUGUGUUUGUGGAGUGAUUUCAUGGUGGUGGGCUAAUCUGAAACAGGUGUGCUGGAUGUGAUUUUCAGCCAGCUUAACUACCACCACCCACACUCUCCUUCAGUCUCCCUUUGUUCUCCUCUGCGGCAGAAGGUUAGUGUGGCACGGGCUGGGGUAUCCUUGGGACGGCAGGUCGGACUGGAAGGCGGCAAGAGCUGAGUCGCAGCAGUGCCUCGCCGCCACACGGAGCUGAGUGCAGCAGGUGUCAGUGCACAGUACGAGGCGCCAGCAGCAGAGUGUAGCACACUGAGUCAGCAUACCAGUCGACUAGCCGAAUCCAGCCUAGUGGCCGUGAGGCCCGGCCACUCACUAGGCCACACACAUUCAGCCAUCUUUCCUUCAGUCUUUUAGAGUGACUGUUCCUGGACUCAUUUAACUUGUUAUGGUUAGAAAUAAUAAAAGACUUCUUCAAAUUUUA